GUGCUCACUUUGGCAGCACAUGUACUAAAACUGGAACAAUACAGAGAUUAGCAUGGCCCCUGCGCAAGGAUGACACGCAAGAUGCUUCAGCCUCUGUGGAUGUGG